GGCAAGAGUCUAAUUUACCAGUUAGCUCCGUUAGUUGCGAAGGAAAUCGGAUCUAUCAAGACCCCUGUUGUUGUGGUAGUGUCGCCAUUGAUUGCCUUGAUAGAGGAUCAGAUAAAGGAAGCAGCCGACCUCGGGAUUUCUGCGACUCAGUUGGGCCUCGGGGAAGAAAAAGACAUAAAGAGUUGCCGGUACCAGGUGGUGUUUGGCAGCCCCGAGGCAUGGCUAAGCGCCAAGUGGGAGAACAUGCUAUCCACCGAAGCAUACAAGACCAACCUUAUAGGCAUCGUCGUGGAUGAAGUCCAUCUUACAUACAAGUGGGGGAAUGCGGGGAGAGGACAAAAGGCCUUCAGAGAAAGCUUUGCAAGGUUGGGGGAACUUCGAGCAAUCGUCAAACCAGGAACACCUGUAUUGGCUUUGACUGCAUCAGCUGAUUUGCACUCAAGAGACAUUGUGAGAAGACGGCUACACUUCCAGAAUGCAGUCAACAUUAUUGUUAGCCCCAACAGACCCAACAUUAGACUUGCUGUAAGGCGGCUUGUGACAGACUCUCUAGACUGCUUCGACUGGCUGGUGAAGAACUUGAAAGAGAGAAGACUGGAUAUGUUACCAGUCAUUAUAUACUGCCGUACAAUAAACACUGUGACAAGAGUAUUCCUCCACCUGAAGUCUGAACUUGGGACAGU